UCUAAUGGUGGAUUCAAGCACCAACAAUGCAGGCGCCACGACUCCAUCUCCUCGCCAUCCCGUCCUCCUCAUGCGACGCAUUCCGGCCGUCGAUUCUGCUGCCGUCUGAUUCCUUCAAGGGUCGUAGGAAGGGUUCCUCAAUCGCACGUGCACAUUGAUGAUCUUAUCAACCUCCUUCAUGGCUCCGACCCCGUCAGGGUCGAGCUCAACUGCCUCGAGAAUGAGGUCCAAGGUCGGGAUUUCCUCAUCUUCUGUUAUAUUUCGGUUGUGGAUUCAUUGGUUUUUUGCUCGAUUUUGUGGGGUUUUGGGGGUUUAGGGCUUGAUUGGGGCAGGUUUAGGGUCUUUGAGGUGUUUUGGAUGUGUCAGUGCACGGCUGCCCAACCUCCAUCGAAAGCUGCUACCAUCAUAAGAGGCCGCCCGUCCCUCAUCAUCAACAACCAAAAACAUCUCCACCUGCAAUCGUCCACCAUCAGUUCUGAUUGGCUCUAUUACAUUUCCUUGAUCCAGAGAAAUUCAAGAAUAAAGAUGAUUUUGUUGAAAAAUACAAGAAUCUAAGCUCCAUUAAUGACAUUGAGCUUGCUAAUCUUCACAAGGAAUUGAGGCCUCACAUUCUUCGAAGAGUUAUCAAGGAUGUGGAGAAGUCUUUGCCUCCAAAAAUUGAGCACAUCCUCCGGGUUGAAAUGUCUCCCCUUCAGAAACAGUAAGCACACUGCCCUUAGCUUGUAAGGGACUACUUAUAGCACUUAGUAUGUUUGCUAACUUGGAGUGUGUCUGUUUAUGGUUGCAUCCUUCCAACUAUUACAAGUGGAUUUUAGAAUGUAACUUUCAUAACCUGAACAAAGGAGUCCGCGGAAAUCAAGUUUGCACCUAUUUCAAAUAUUUAGGGCCCGUUUGUCAUUGAAGAAAUGAGCACUUGUGAUCCUUAAAAAUCACUUAUUAAGCACUAAAUAUGUUUGAGUUAAUACUUAAUUUGUUGCUUAAUAAGCAAUUUCCCCAAUAAUCGCAGGUUUCUUAAAUGCCCAGGGGGUCAUUUCCCAACUUAAUAAGCAAUUGAGUACUUUUCAUUUAACUGUUCAUAUGUUGGCCACCAAUUGGUGGUCAUAGUCAUCCUUUAAUUCUCUUUUCAUUCAUUCCUUCUUCUUCUUUUUUUUUCCUUUUUUCUUUUUGGUUAUGAGCUAUGACUCAUCUAUAGUGUGAACCACUGUUUUAAAAAGUUGAAAUAGAUGUACAAAUGUGCCAACUGUAGAGUCAGUAAGACCUGUUGAGAAAAUUUUCAAGAAAAUGAAGAGUGGUGAUUAGACAAUUCUGACUGUGAAAACAAUUCCCUAUAGGAAAUUUUUUCUUUCAUGUAUGUUUACGAAACAAUUUUCUUUUGUUGGCAUAAACAUUUCUCAAUAACAUCUUAGAAGAAGCAAAAGACUUACUGAA